UACGUAGGGUGCAAGCGUUAAUCGGAAUUACUGGGCGUAAAGCGUGCGCAGGUGGUUGUGUAAGCUUGAUGUGAAAUCCCCGGGCUUAACCUGGGAAUGGCAUUGAGGACUGCACGGCUAGAGUGUGGCAGAGGGGGGUGGAAUUCCGCGUGUAGCAGUGAAAUGCGUAGAGAUGCGGAGGAACACCGAUGGCGAAGGCAGCCCCCUGGGCUAACACUGACACUCAUGCACGAAAGCGUGGGGAGCAAACAGG
rnacentral:rRNA from 1 species